AGACUCAGAAACAGUGGCAAUACAACUGCGAAAAAUGCGAGAAAGAAAUUUAUCAACAGUGACGAAUCAAAAAACUCGCUCUCCUUAUUUUGUUCCCAAUCCUGCACAGUGACACGAGAGAGAGAGUCAAACAUAAAACCCUCAGAUAUGAACAGUCAGAAUCGUUGAAUUUCAGACACACGGCCACAGAGAUGGGAUUUGGACUUACUCUUUCUACAACUUCUCUUUCUCAUCCUCCUCUAUCUUGGUGCACAAGUUGUCACUCUGCAGCAGCAGGAAAAUGAAACAAAGUGAUGAAACAGGUCAGCUACCUUCU
rnacentral:lncRNA from 1 species